AAACAAAAAAUCUCAUACAAAAAGCAGACAACGAUUUUGGUUGUCUGCCAGUGAGUUCAAUGAGUUAGCUAAUUGUGAUAAAUUGCAUCCCCAUUACGAGAAGAGUGAAGCUGCUAGUUCAAACAGCUU
rnacentral:antisense_RNA from 1 species